UUCUUAUGCAGGCUAUACUGUUGCUCUUCAAGUUUCCCAGUUUAAAAUUUAACCAGGAAGUGAGGCAUGUCUUAGCUUCAGCUGAAAUGCAAAUCAAAAGUUUCAGAAUAUUUUGUUUUUGCUGCCUUAGAAACCCAAGGAUUUUGCCGGCGGUCCAGUAAUGUUCUGAUCUGCUGCAAAACUUUACAGUCAGUGCAGUCGUCUGUGCAGAGCAGCAGAUUUCAGUGCCAAUGAGCAAAGUACUUGGCUUCCUUUCGCACUUGUGCAACCUGUUGAGACCCAAGGAAGUUGUGCGGGUGUUGCAAAGGAUUUGGCCAUACCGUUCAGAGUCUGAGAUACCUGCCUAAUCAUGGUGCUCCCUGAGAGACUUCUACUUCCCUGGAGGAUGUUCCUCACUCUGACAGGUCUGAAAGGAAACUCACAUUUCUGCAUUUUAAGGAACACCACAAUGCCUGUAUGGAAAUUGCACUGUCACACAAUAAAUAAAACGUGAGGUAAAAGGAUACUAUCUCUGCUCCAAAGAUUUGAUACUUCUUCCAAGAGAUGCAGUACAUCCAGCACUUCACUCCUUCUAAUUGUGGACUAUGAAAGCAUUGGCUGCGGAGGGUGCUGGACCUUACCAACCCCAUGAAGGAAGGACCAAAAAAUCCAAAUAAAAGUUAUUCAUAGAGGACUAUGGUGCUUUACCAGGCUGUGGUUACCGCCAGGAUGACGCUGAUUGGUAGCCCAGUGCCUGGGAUGGAUUAGGAUCACUUGCUGGGCAGCUUUUCAAUAUUCUGUUUUAUCUUCAUCGUUCAGCACGUGGCCCCAUGUCUCGGGUACUGCACUCCAUUCAAGCUGUGCUCUGGAUACAUAAUUAUUAAUUUCAUCAGCAGCUUUUUGGUGGCAGUCACUGCUAUUGUUUUCAAGUGGAUUGUGAAUAGCGCUGAGUUCUGUUUUUCCUCUUUGAGAUGAGGGGACAUUGUUAUCUUCAUUUUUCAGGUGGAACAAAAAGACAAGGAAGAUUAAAGUGCAGAGGUUCCACUAAUUUCAGACACCAAAGAUCUCUGUAAUUACCCUUGUGGAAAGCUGAUAGCGUUAGCAAUAGCCUUCAUGUGGCCUAAUGCUAACAAAGACUCACCAGCGGCUGUCACAUCUAUUUGCUGAUGGGGGAGGCUCUGGAGCCCUGAGCUCCAUCCUAAUGCUGGCAAGUGCACCAUAGAGAGAUGCAAGCUCUCUUGCUUGUCCCUUCUGCAGCACACAGUCCAUGGACUUCUGGCUGCCCUCCUCCCCACCCCUGCCUCCAGUUGCAGUGGGUGGCUUCGUCCCACGUGCCACUGAGAGUGGGGACUCUGCUUCCAGUCCUGCUAACCAGAUCUCAGGAAAGCUUACAGUGUGGGUAAAUUUGGGUUGAUUUUCAGAGAAUUAGCAAAUGAUCUGUUAACUUUUCCAGAAGAUGGAGCCAGGGUAUACAUUGUUCCUUAAGGUUGUUUUGAGGGGGAACAAAAAAACCAAACAAACAGAACAGUCUGCUUAUUUCCCUAAGUAUUUAGCCUGCAGGAAAAUCUGAUUAGAAGACUUCAGCCCCACAGGUUAAAGUGUAGCCAAAUUAUGAAGCAGAGAAAUCUUGGAUGACUUUACUGGUAGCAGAGUACUUGUAGCAGCCUUGCUGCUAAUAAGAAGGCAUGUACACGCACACAUGCACCCACAGAGACUUCGUGCGCAUAGACAAGCACAGUAAUUAGCAGGACGCUGGUUGCCCUCUCAUUUAUUUCACUUGUUCUUUUCUGUAGAGCUUAAUCUUGCAGACAGUUUGCUUUAAUCCUGAGUGGAUGGAAACGGCAGGAGUCUGUGUAAAAUUGGUGUAUGUUUUCAGCCACUGAGAGCAGAAACCAUCAGAAGGCAAUGCUGAAUAAAUCCAGAGGAACACCAUGGCAUUAAGGGUGCAUCAUGCUGAGCAUGCCUACUGUGGUAGAAGGUGACUCCCAUCCCAGUGAUGGAUGAGAUCCUGAACAAGGUAGGAUCUCCUCAUGUUUCAUCUACGCAGAACUGCUGAAAGCUUCAUGUUGUGGUCUAAUUCAAAUUAAUUGAAUUGAAAUGGUAAACACAUAAUCAGACAAACAACAGAAGUACAAAGCGAAGGAGUCCACCACGGUCAUUCCUCUUUUGAAAAUAUGAUAACACCUGCACAGAAAAAAAUCAUGAAAGUGGGAGGAAAAAAGUCAUUUGCCUAUGGAAAAAAAAAAAGUCAGGUCUUUUAAAAGGUGAGCUGCCAGAUGUUUUGUAUAUUAAUGAUAUCUUUUACAUAGUAUAAGAGAGGGUAAUGCAUGUAUCAGUAAGGGCUCAAAUUUAUAAGGAGUGUGAAACAAUAAUUUAAUCCUCCUGAGAUAUGUUAUCAGUGCCAACCCCAUGCUUUUUAUACACAUGUAAACUUCAGUGGAAACCAUCUUAACUGCUUUCCUUCUUAUUAAACAGUCUUCCAAAAUCUAUAAUUCAGCGAGACAUUAAGCAGUUGGCAUUUGUUGCUAUACAAUCCAAUUCUGCAAGCCCCACUGUGAAUUCAGCAGGGCAUUCUCCACCAGCCAGCUUUGUUAUCAGUAACUCUACAUGAAAGAACUUGUGUUUUCCCACUAAUGAAGAAAACUGAAGAAUAAUAAAGUUGUUCAGUAUUUUAGAACCUUACUGUGGAUUGCAGCCUUGAGAUUUAAAUGCAGAGAACUGUUGAGAUGCUCUUGAAUCCAAGUGUCUGUCACUGGUAAGCUUUUAUCUCCUAUAGAUUAACAUAUAUGAGUUAUAGUAACAUGUGGACAUCAAUAAGAUCAUAUCACUAAAUUCUGUUAGGAAACCUCAUAUACUCAAUGUGCUGUAUGUAUAUUAGCAAGUUGCAAGUAUGAUCUAUGCCUUUUAAGAAUCUUAUUUUUGCAGAAUGAUAGCUUUGCCCUUCACACUAUUUAUUGACCAGUAAGCAUGUCAGGAGCACUCCUGCCACAGAUACUGACCUCUGUGAACAUAAAGUGCACUAUGAUCCCUAUUGCUCCAUCACCACCUUCAAGUUUGCAUGGUGUGUGCCACCACCUCACCUGCAUGAGCCCAGGAGGUGCUCCAGGCACGGAGCAGAAGCUCCCUGAAGCUCAGGAGAAGCCCAUGGAGGAGCAGGCCAUCCCCCUGCAGCCCAUGGAUACCACAUGGAGCAGAUCUCCAUGUGCAGCCAUGGAGGAGUCUAUGGUGCAGCAGUGGAUGAGGCCUGGAGGAGCCACAGCACAUGGUGAGCCCCUGCAGGAGCAGCCUGGGCCAGAGCUGCAGCCCAUCGGGAGGAGCCCACAGUGGGGCAGAAGGGCUGGUGGAGCUGCUGCUCAUGGGGACCCAUGGGGGGCAGUGCCUGAAGGGUGGGCCCUGGGGUAUGUUGAGGCAGUGCUUGGAGAGCUGCAGCCUGCGGCAAGCCCACAUGGGAUCAGUCUGGGAAAGAUGGCAUUCCAUGGGAGGGACCAUGUGAAUGGGAUGGAGUUGCCGUGAAGGAGCAGCAGAGAUGAAGCGUUAUAGACUGACCGUAAUCCCCACUCCCUGUCCUAGAAUCACAGAAUUAGGUUGGAAAAUACCUUCAAGGUCAUGAAGUCCAACCAUCAACCUGACCUGCUGAGUCCCAUCAUUAAAUCAUGUCCUUGAGUGCCACAUCCACACAUCCCUUAAAUACCUUCAGGGAUUCAGAUUCCACUGCUUCCCUGGGCAGUACAUUCCAAUGCUUGACCACCCUCUCUGAGAAGAAGCUCUUCCUAAAACCCAAUUCAAACCUCCUCUAGUGCAGUUUGAGACUUGGUCAUCCCAUACAUGUCUCUCUGACUUCUGGAAAACUCAGAACAGGGAUUGUGAGCUGAUAAAUCAAAAAGGGUGUCCUCUGUCACAUGCUCUGAGAUCCUCUGAUACUGUUGCUGUGGCCAAGGCAGGUCUGUGCUUCCCCUCCUCCUCUUUCUGGUGACUUGCCUGAAGAAUGGGAUAUUUAGUCUGUUAAAACAUGUAAUGCCCCACUGUUUCUUGGAUUAUUGUUUGUUCUGUGAAGUCUUCCCCAUGCUGUCCGAUCUGGCUCUGUUAGGCCAGGGGGUACAACAUUGCCUUUAGAAAAUGGCAGACUUGUUUCCUAGGAUUUCAUUAUCCAUCUGCCUAGGCCCUAUAGAACAGAAGAUGGGAAUUAAAUGGAGUUAUCGGCACUCUGGGAGUAAUGUGCACUAUCAAAUCAGUCUGGAGAAAUUCUUUCAAAUGGGAGAAUUUUCAAUUUAGCAGACAAAAUACUAUUUUAUGGAAUCAAGUACUCUGAGUUUUGACUCCACCAGUGGAGGAGAGCCUGUAUCCCACAAUCAGUAAUGUUAGGGUGAGUCUGCACUGCUGAAACCAGAACGAGUUUAGCCACUUAUCUGCAGAUGGACAGGCUGAAGAGUUUUGCUUUUAUGCACUUGUCUUUUUCAGUUUUUUUGACUAGAUGUAUGAUUGCCAGAAGAACAUUGUUAAAAUCCCUGUCAAGAACCAACUGCAAGUAUCUGUUACAGAAAAAUGCUCCAUCUCCUGACCUUCUGCACCCACAAAUACAAGAUGUCUCAUCUGCUCUUCAUGUUGGUGGAUAUCGUGUCAGAGCUAGGAGCAUGGUUUUGCAGUUAGCAAGGUUAGAGCAGCUGCAGCACAGGGCUUCUUUUGCCCAGCAUUAUGCUGUGCCAGCAAAAGGUUUUCAGGCUGCACAGAAAUGUGUAACACAUUAAUGAUCCUGAUUUUAAUGAAUUUUUAAAUGAAUUUGUGCUGGCACAAUCAGUUUUGUUAACUGCUGAGCAACUGUGUAUGUGUUGACAAUUAACUGUGGAAGUACAAUGACAGGCAUGCAGAUAGAAGCUGGAUUUAAAUCAGCAAGUUCCAAUUAAAUACAUGACUGCAAACUACACAACUGCAGAUUUGUAACAACGAUAUUGUCAGAAAAGAUCAGAGAGGUGUUUGAAGACAUGACAUCAGCUUAAGGGUUGAAAUUCUCUACUCUCUGAUAUCUAUGAGGGGAGUUGAAUCUUUCGGUUCAGAAAGCUAAACGAUGGGGGUGAAUGGGAAGUAAGGAAAAAGGCUGUGACAGUGGUGUGAUGCAAGGACUCUAAAUUUGCCAGGAGAACAAGGGCCUCUCUUUUGUUGAUUGGUCUAGCAAAAAGGGCUUGUUCCUUGGACUACUGUGGAGACAGUGUGUCAGCCCCUGCUUGCAAUUACUGUGAUUUUAAACUACCCUGUUUAGAUAAGGUUUUUUAGGAAGCAACUUGUUAAUGUAUAGAUUGCUCUGGCUGAGUGUAAAGAAGAGCACUGCAUUUUAAUAGAUGCUAAGAGCUAUUCCUAGAUAUUAGGACACAAGAUGGUGGCAUCCACUGCCUCAGGGAACAGCUGAGGAUCACUGUGGCAUUAUUUGAAUUGCCUUCAUUUUUUAAUUCAUCUUUUUCCAUUUAUUUUUAUUUUAUUUUUAUACAUUGGAAUAUGUAAAGGGGAGGAAUGGUUACCUAAGUUUAAACCUAUUAAGGGAAGAAGACCGUAAUCUACUUACCUUUUGAAAUUGCUCUGUUGUAUAGCAAUUUCUGAGAGAAAAUAACGGAGUAGAAUUGUUAAUUUGCCAAAACUCUUUUGCUGAUCUCUUUUUGUAGAUUUUUUUUGGCAAUGCAUGGAUAAGAUGUAUGCCAUGCAUCCCACCUGCAGCAGUGCAGGCUAAUGUGCGAUUGUCCUUCAGGAGACCCAUCUCAGCUGUAUUCUUUAGGACACCGCAGUAGCUUUGAAUAACAUUCAACUGUGCUAUUGAUGUGUAUUGGAGAGGAGUUGCUAUACUUCCUGAAUUUGUGAAUAUGGGGGACAACUGAAGUGUCUUUGUGAAUUGUAGGUACCCCACAGGCUUGCUCCUUUCCUUCAUCUCUGCUGGGGGGCAGAUAAGGAUGCCUGAGCCACUUUCUUAAUGACGUUCUGAGUUUCUACAUUGCAGCAUGAGGAAUUCUGCCCUUGCAGCAUCAAUAGCAGCAUGGGUGGCAGAUUGAGGGAGGCAAUCCUUCCCCUCUGCUCUGUGCUGGUGAGACCUCAUCUGGAGUACUCCAUCCAGAUAUGGAGUCCUCAGCUCAGGAGAGAUAUGAACCUUUUGGAGCUCAUCCAGAGGAGGGCCACAGAAAUUAUCCAAAGGAUGGAACACCUCCAGUAUGAGUACAGGAUGAGAGUGCUGUGGUUGUUCAACCUGGAGAAGAGAAGGCUCUGGGGAGAUCCAGUGGCAGCCUUUCAGUAUCUAAAGGGGGGUUACAAGAAAGAAGAGGGGAGACUCUUUAGCAGUGUCUGUUCUGAUAGGACAAGGGGAAAUAGUUUCAAAGUAAAACAAAGGAGAUACGAGAAAAAAGGUGGUUUUUUUUUUUUUUUUUGUUUGUUUGUUUUUUUUUACAGUAAAGGUGGUGAGGCACUGAAACGGGUUGCCCAGAGAAGUGGUGAAUGCCUCAUUCUUGGAGACAUUCAAGGUCAGGCUGAAGGGGCUCUGAGCACCCUAAUCAGCUGUAGGCAUCAUUGCUCAUUGCAGGGAAGUUGGACCAGAUGAUCUUUAAAAGCUCUUUCCAACUCAUGAUUCUAUGAUUCUAUGACUUGGAAACUCUCUGUGAGUCCCUGCUGUCAUGAGACAAGCCUGGCUUUCCUGCGCCUCUUGAGUUUGAAGACUGUGGGAUGGGACAAAGGACAUGCCUGAGAGAAUGGUCUUAUUUCUUAGCUAAAGAAAUAGAAAGUGUUUCUUAAGUUUAUUACACAUACUGGGGAGAAAAAGGGAGAGCCACAUAGAGGUAGAGAGCAUGGAGAGUCCUCCUGCCCAUUCAUCCAGCCCCAGGCUCCUUUCAUCCAGCACAAAUGUUAUGGGACACUGAGAGAUACCAAAGGCAGAAAUCAUGGUCCAGAUUUUCCCUUGUCUGCCUAUGUUUCCACUUGCAUGUAGCCAGCUGAAGACACAAACUACUGCUAGUUUAUUAUUUCCUCAGAGAACUGAAUAUGCCUUGCCAUGGCAAAUGCAGGCAGAGCCCCAGUGAGACACUCCUCAAGUGCCAGGAGUGGCAAGGAGAUGGGCUUGGAGCAACGUGCAGGUCCAGAAGUGAAUGUCUGUCUGAGCCAAUGGUGCUGCAGGGACAGCAGGGUAAGCAGGGACUCAGCACUGGGCAGGACACAUGUUGCCUGCAGGCUGUGUGCAGCUGGAGACCCCACAGCCUGCUCCUGCCAUGGGAGUGCUGGGAGGAAAGACACUGAAGAGAUUUGUCCUCUGUUGCCCUUUGAAAAAGGGAUCGUUGGUGCUAGUGAUGCUUAGUUAUUCUUCUGGGCACAUUCACUGUCCCUGUCUAUGCCAAGCUGUGACACCGUUUCUGGUCCAGCUGGAGGUGCCUGACUUGCUCAUUUUGCCAGAGGCUAAAGGAAGAUUGAUCAGGAAGAGUUCAGUCACUGGGUUGAAGAUACAGAGUGGAUGGCAUGGAGAUGUCAUGGCAUGGCAGAGAUUAGAACAGAACAGAGUACAGCAGAAUAUAUUUCUGAAGCUGAUGGCUGCUUCACCAUCCUAUUCCCUGGCCUCCUGAUCUUGAGGCCUAUUCUGUUAUGGCAGAAGGAGCGAGAGAGGUUAACUGGGGGAUUAACUGCUCCAUAUACAACCCGCACAGUUUAUGUACUGGAGGAACAUAUGCAGUGAUCUUCCAGGAAAAGCAGUAAUGUGGUUUCCUGGCAGGAUGGGAGAAAUAAAGCAAUGCCUGUCCUUUGUAUGGGAGUUAAGUGGUUUUGGGUCACUUGAUCUACUCUUUGCAAUAGGAAAGACUGCACAUGUAGAGGGACAGCUCGGGAGGUAUUAUAAAUAUUAGGAUGACAUGGCAGCUUAGCUGUUAAUUUUCCAUUAUUUAUUUAUUUAUAAAACUGAUUCUAGGAGCAUCCCCUGCCUCAGGGGAUGUCAAAGGGCCUGUGAGAGGGUCUUCCUCUUCAAAGGUUGCGAUAGCGUCCCAUGGACUUAUUUGUCAGCACAACUGACAAUGGCAUCACAGUAGCUGCACUGUGCUUUGAGGCCUUUCUUGAGGAUCCUGGUGCAAGACAGAGAAGAAUUCACCAGGAGGAGGUUGUCCAUUUAUGCAAAAUCUUCUGUUUAUAAAAUUUUGCUGCUGAAGAAAAGUUGACCGAGAAUCAAAUCUCUUCUGUAUGCGCAAGGCUACAACAGUCAGUUCUGUACUCAUUUUGCACUUCCUUUUCUUUCCCCCCACAAUUCUGUCAUUCAACGUAUGCUCAUAGGAGACUUCAAGAGAAGCUGCCAACAACAUUAUCAACAUCAAGAGACAGACACACCAAUGUAAUUGAAGAGGUACCACUGAGAAAAACAAAAACAAAAACAAAAAACACAGAUGGUUUUAUAGAUUAAAAAAACCUGCAUGUCUAAAGCUCAUGUUUUUUAAAAACAGGGAUAGGCAAAGGGAGAGAGUGACAGGA
ensembl:lncRNA